rnacentral:ncRNA from 1 species
UUAUUUUAUUUUAGUUAAUAUUUUUAUUUUUAUUUUAUUUUACAUGUAAAUUUUUGUGUGAAUUAAUUUAAUUUUUAAAAAAUUAAAUUUAUUUAAUUUAUUCGCAGUAAUUAAUAUUAAUUAAAAAAGAAAUUUUGUAUUAGUAAUAAUAUAUAAUAUUGGUAAAAUUUGUGCCAGCUACCGCGGUUAUACAAAUAAUGUAAAUAAAAAUUUUUAGUAUUAGUUAAAUUGUAAAAAUUUUUAUAAUAUAAAUAUAAAUUUAUUAGGUGAAAUUUUUAAAUUUGUUUAUUUAUUAUUUAAAAAAUAAUUUAAGCUAUAAACUUUUUAUAAUAAACUAGGAUUAGAUACCCUAUUAUUAAAAAUAAAAAUUUAAAUAUUAAAGUAGUAUUAGUUAUAUUCUUAAAAUUUAAAAAAUUUGGCGGUGUUUUAGUCUAUUUAGAGGAAUUUGUCCUAUAAUUGAUAAUCCACAUUGAACCUUACUUAAAUUGGUUAAAUUUGUAUAUCGUCGUCAUCAGAAUAUGUUAAAAGAUUAAAUUUUCUUAAUAUUUUAUUAAAUAAAAUGUCAGAUCAAGGUGCAGUUUAUAUUUAAGUAGAGAUGGAUUACAAUAAAAUUUAUUUAAACGAAUAAUUUUUUGAAAUAAAAAUUUGAAGGUGGAUUUAAUAGUAAUAUAAAAUAGAUUAUUUAUAUGAUUAUAGCUCUAAAACAUGUACAUAUCGCCCAUCGUUCUUAUUUUUAAAAUAAGAUAAGUUGUAACAUAGUAGAUGUACUGGAAAGUGUAUCUAGAAAGA